UUGUGCCGAUGGGACCACAAGGGACCUGCAACUGCUUCCCAGCAUCCAAAGCCUCCAUGGAAAAAGUGUCUUUGCUGUGCUGUAUCCUUCUGUCCUGAUGCUUCUGCCUUGGAACUGAUGACUAUGGACUGCACCCCCCAGUACUAUACUUGACAAAUCAAUCGCCAAUUGCUGAGACAAAGAAUGAAUGAAAAACAGCAAAUGCCUGUAUUGGGGGAAAGCAAAGGAUGGAGGAAAAAGGGUGAGCUGUUGGGCUGGAGUUCCUAUGAGACGUCAGUUUGAGUUGUCCAGUAGGCAUUUGUCUGGAUAGCUCUGUGACUCAAAUCUGAACUCUGUCAUGCCUAGUUAGAAAGCCAGCUUUAUAAUCAGGUCAAAGAAACCAAAAAAUAUUUGACCACUUUUAAGGAAUAAAUACUA